rnacentral:rRNA from 1 species
UACGUAGGGUGCGAGCGUUGUCCGGAAUUAUUGGGCGUAAAGGGCUCGUAGGCGGUUUGUCGCGUCGGGUGUGAAAUCCACUGGCUUAACUGGUGGCUUGCUUUCGAUACGGGCAGACUGGAGGCAUGCAGGGGAGAACGGAAUUCCUGGUGUAGCGGUGAAAUGCGCAGAUAUCAGGAGGAACACCGGUGGCGAAGGCAGCUCGCUGGGACGUUACUGACGCUGAGACGCGAAAGCGUGGGGAGCAAACAGG